rnacentral:lncRNA from 1 species
UCAGAAUUCAUCGAUAUGUAACCCUGAUCAAAAAGUCCCAACCAGUGAGACUCUUGACCCCGGUACCCAUAAUGUGUGGAACUCGUGAUCAGAGAAUCCUGAUUCUCGAUCACUGAGUCUCAAACAUAUAGGAUUCUACAUCAGCCAUCAGAUCAGAUAGGAACCUCUAAUGUGUGUGACCCUGUAGGUUCGAACCUAAGCCGGUAGCACAGGAACCAAUUCCUGUACUAAUCGAAGUGACCAUCUAGCAAUGGUACCCGACAUCCGGAUAGGUCGAAGAGUCACAAUCGC